rfam:Candidatus Zambryskibacteria bacterium RIFCSPLOWO2_12_FTLL_39_23 rifcsplowo2_12_scaffold_11233, whole genome shotgun sequence.
GCUCGGAUGGCGGAACAGGUAUACGCGCACGACUUAAAAUCGUGUCCCGUAAGGGAUGUGGGUUCGAUCCCCACUCCGAGCA